AAAAGAAAUAUUGAUGCCCUCUUCUUUAAAUGUUCAAUUUUUUCUUACACAAACUACAUUUCAAAGAAAUAUAACCACUUUAGAAAGCGAUAUUUUAUGUGAUAAUGUUUUCUCUUAUCCUCAAAUCCACAACACAAACUUAAAAGAGGCUCUAAAUAUAACAAGAGCUCUUUUCACUUUCACUGAAGACUUGUUGAAACAUGAAAAGAAUUCCAAGAAUGUAACAUUUCACCCUUUAACUGUGGAAACAAAAUACUUUGUGCUGGGAUCCAUUCGUUUUCCUUUUCGUAAAUGUCUUCUUAUCUUAGUAGGUGUAUACCCAAAAGAUUAACAACCUUAUCUUAGGUUUUUUUCUGUUAGUUUGCAAAGAAAGGUAACAAACACAUUUAACAUGGAACAAAGCGAUGAUUGUGUUUUUUGAUUCUUAAACUAAAGAGGAAAACAAACAGGAUUCAUUUCAUUGGAAAGGUUUCGAACUACCUGUACAAAACAAGGAAAAAAAGCCUUUAACCUUAUUGCUUCGUUGUAUUCUUCAUCGUUUAUGGCAUCAUUUUUUCUUGUUUUAUAAUCAAGAACACUUUCACCGUUACCUUUCCUUUGAAACGCUUGUGGAAAAUUACAUUGCUCAUUUUGUUCCUCGUUUCUUCUCAAACCCUAAUAUCGUAAAGUUCACAUUAACACCUUACCAUGUUUUUCCUGAUACCCAAAACCCAAUAACUCGGCCUAUGUGUACUAUUAUCAAUUUGAGACUUUGGAAUUUUAUUUAUCAGUUGAAAACGUUACAACCACUGAAAAAAAAAGGUUCUACAUUCCAUUCAGGUUGUAUGUUUUAUAAAGAUUAUUAUAUGGGAGGAACAAUAGAACAAUCUCAGGCUGUCGUUAUUUAUGAUUGUCUUUUUCAAUCGAAUCAAACAAGCCAACUGCUAAGCGGUUGGGAAAAAAAAGAUUGUUUCAAUUAUAAACUUAACGAUAUUCCAUGUUUUUAUAACCUAUGUGAUCAACCUGAAGAGAUUAAAGAAAGAAUUACCAAUGGAACAUGGAUUGGUUAUCUUUAUGGAAUUCAAAAAACCAAGGUUACAAAUGAGAAAACCUCUGAAUCGCGCGAAUUCGUGAAUGAAUUAUUAAUAGAUAUCGAAAAAGAUUUGUUAGUUAUUCCGAAAAUUUUUACACAAAAAUCCUCAGGUUUAUAUCUCAUUGUUUUCAAGUAUGAAGACAUAUCUUUUUUAAUGCUUUUUAAUCAAUUACCUCUAGACGAUUGUGUUACCUUACAAAGUAUGACACAGGGUAUUUUUGGAACAUCGAUAGCGCUAUCCUCCUGGUUUUUUCUUCUGACCAAGUUUUUAUGCGACGAAGAAUUCGGUUUACCAAUCUUCUUAAAAACAAUACGUUCCGCUUUACCAGAAGAGCGCACACAUUUUAGAGAUUAUAAUAGUGUAUCCUCAACAAUUAUCCUUGAUAACGUUCAAAAAUGGUCAAAUUUACUCUUCAACCAUACUUCAAUGUCUUGUAUGAACAAAAACCGAGUACAACCCCUUUCUGUAGUAAAAAAAAGAGCAGACAUGGCUUUACACCAAGAAAAAAAUAUUCUAUGGAUUCUCUAUAAUAUUUUCAACUUUCCAUAUAGUGAAACGCUUCAAACAAUUUCUGUGAGAUUUAAAAACACUGCAAAAAUUAGUUUACAUCAAGAUUUUCAAAGAUCUUUUUCUUAUCAUAUCGGAGAAAAACAAACAAAUGAUGAUAACGGGGAAGAUGAAUUUUUAAAUAAAACAAUUUUGGAGCAUUUUUAAGAAAACCUGAAAAAGAAACUUUGUAAUUUUUUGAAAUUUAUCUAAUAAAUUUAUUCCAAGUCCCAUGACACAGUAGCACUUAAUGUUUUAAUAAGUAUUUUGUAAAGUGCUUUAGAACGCAGUUCGCACUCUGAACUUUUGUGGCUCACAUUAGUGGGACAGAAAAUGAUUCAUAUAGAUAUUAAUUUUUUAAAAAUACAACAGAAAUCUUUUGGGAUGGAGCAAACCUUUGUCGCCAUUAAACCGGAUGCGGUUAAAAGACAUCUUAUCCAUGCUAUUAUUGAAAGAUUUGAGAAAAAAGGCUUUCAAUUAAUUGGUAUGAAAAUGGUCGUACCUUCCACAGAGUGCUUGGAAAAUCAUUAUGAGGAGCACAAACAUAAAUCAUUUUUUCCUCAUCUUGUUACAUUUAUGCAAUCCUCCCCUGUCGUUGCAAUGGUAUGGAAGGGACCAGAUGCUAUAGCGCAAGCUAGAAAAAUAAUAGGUGCCACGCAUCCUCUUCAAGCAGAUGUUGGAACAAUCCGUGGAGAUUAUGCAAUUGUUUGCGAUAAAAAUUUAGUACAUGCAAGUGAUUCUAUUCAAGCAGCUAAAAAAGAAAUCAACCUGUGGUUUAAAUCAAAUGAGCUAUUCGUAUGCGAUGAUAAUACCUAUUGAAAGAGUGAUGUGCAUAUUUUUAUAAGGCUUUCAUUACUCUUUUAUAUCCUAUUUCUAAAAUUCAAUUCUUUUUAACAAAACUCUGGACAGUAACCGCACUGUCGUGCAGU